CUGGGCGACAGAGCGAGACUCCUUUAAAAAAAAGGGGGGGGUGAGAGAGGGACAGAAAGAAUUGGAGCUAAGGGGAAACACUUUCAUGUUUUGUCCCCCCAAAUUCCCAGUGAACAUUCCCAUUGCCAGCAGGUGAAAUCCAAGGCUCUGGCUCCAGGAUCCUGCUCUUUUCUUUGGUGACUCCAGUUCACAUUUGGCAUAGAAACAAUAUUGAACUUGUCAUACUUCUCUGAACAAAUCAUUAUGCUAGUGCUUUUGGCUCACAGGCUCCACUUCCCCAGACACCCCUUCGCCCUAAGCUUCAAGUAAUUCAGCUUCACCCUUCAGAGAAGAGCCCAGCUGUCACUUCUUCUAAGGACCCUCCCUAGCCGUCUCUCCAGCAGAAGGGCCCCCACCUUGCUCUUUGCACCUCUGUCCCUCGAGGUGCUGCUGUCCUCUGUGGAGGGUGGGACCCCAGGAACUAGAGCCCCUCUCAUGCUGGACACUCAGUAAGUGUGUGCUGAGUGGAUACAAGUGCAGUGAGCUCGCACAGCCUUACAAUGUGUACUCUCAUGUCUGGAAUAGAUCCCCAUUUUCAUUCUUUGUAAAAUGAGUAAAUGGGCUGGGCGACCCAUACUCUCUUUUCAACUCAGAAGUCCACUAUGAGCCUGACAGCAAAUAGCUUCCCAGCCAGCACCAGGCCAGGACCUAGGUUGUUCAAUGUGCCUGUGUCCCCCACAGAGUGGGGAAAACGUGGAGAAAUGGGACCAGCUCUGCUGCCUGCUGCCCAGUGCCAGUCAGCAACUCCAGGCUCACAGAGCCAAGGCAAAGGCAUCUGCAGGAGAUCUUGGUUAUUCAUUACUGUGAUUGGACUGGGAGGGGAGUAUGUUCACUUUUAAUUUUCCAGGGACUAGCAUGAGACAGUAAAGUCUGAAAUGUGGUGUUUUUUUGUCUUGGCCAAAAAAAAAAAAAAAAAGGCCUUUUUACCUUCUCAUCCUUGGAGCCACUGGCAUUAGCUAUGGGCCUCAUAGUUUCAGAAAACUUGAAAAUGAACUACGUGAACCAGUAUUCUCCAAAGUAAUAUUUUGAUAAAUAGUGUAAUUCUUUAUUACAGCAAAACCAUUCCUUAAGUGGGCAAAACUGUAGAAGAUAGGAAAACACACUCUUGAAAAAAGGUGGUGAUGCCCUGAAAUUCAGCAAACUGCAGGAGCACGUGUUGUUCUACCCCAGGUCAGAGUGUGUCAGUCAUCACUCGAUGCCACUCACAGACCACCAACCUCAGAAUACCUGGGUGUAAAGCAGAAGAAUCCCAGACUUCUUACAGAACCCAGUGACUUUUUGCACCUUAAAUCUGUGAAAUCAUCAUGUUUUCUUCUGCCAUAUCCAUAGUUCAAAGAUGAGGCAAAGCUAGACGCAUUCCUGAAGGAACCCAAGAAAUUCCUCCUUUCUCUCUCUGGAAUGAAAUGAAUUCUCUAGAUGAUCAGUUCUAACCUUCAAAAACCAAACUUGUUUGUGAGAGCUCCUUCAAAUACUGCUGUAGACCCCAGUGUUUAUUCUUAUUCAUUAAAUUUUUAAAAUGUUUGUUUUA